AGUUCCUUUUGGGGGCUAUUAAGAAUUCUCUUUAACUUCAGUUUUCUAACACUUCACAGUUCAUUCUUCUUGGCAUGGAUUAGAUCUCUCUGCUUCAAAGAUUCAUGGCUCCCUUUAGCUCUGGGAAAUUCUCUAAUAUUUCUUUGGUAAUUUCCUCCACUCCAGCUUCUUUGUUCUCACUCUGGAACUUCUGUUAGUCUAGAUGUAGACCUCCUGGAUUAAUUAUCCAUAUAUCUUAUUUUUUCUCACAUAUUGUGCUUUUAAUAUAUAGUCUAGGUGAUUGGCAUUAAACUGUUUAUUGAAUUUUUAUUUAAGUAAUCAUGUAAUUCCCAAGAGAUCUUUCUUUUUAUUGAAUUAUUGAUUUUAAAUGUAACCCUGGUUUUGUUUUGCAGUUACCAAAUCUCUCUGAUUAAAUAGAUUUUCUUUUUUAAGUUUGUAUCUUUCUCCUAAAUUGUCUUGUAUCCACAGUGUAGUGUUUUCUGCUGUUUUGCUUGCUCACUUUUCUUUGUGUGUGUGUGCUGCCUUUCUUGGCAUAUUAUAUUUCUGGUGAUCUAUGGUUGGUUGGUAUGUAAACGAAUAAGGCAAUAGAAAGGCUGUUUGCAAGCCCUUCAACAGGUGGAUUGGUUUUGUGAAUCCUGUACUUGAACAGUCAAAGUUUGGAGGGUUUGCCUGGGAAUGGGGGAAGGGGACUCUUGACUUUCGAGGGUGAGGUAUUGACACCCAUGGUAACGAUCCUACUUCUCCCCAAACACGUUUUUACUGCCUUGAACAACCUAGUGGUGGCUUCAGAUCAGCCCUCAUGGACAACCAGGAGAGAGAGAAGUCUGUGUUACAUAUACAGGUGGUGGUUAAUACCCCUCUUUUCAGCCCCACCCACCUCAUCCACCCUCUGUUUUACCCACUAUUUCUGAGAAACCGAGUCUUUCUGGGGUGACGUUUUGCUUUUUUUAGGGCCGCACCUGUGGCAUAUGGGAGUUCCUGGACUAGGGGUCCCAGAGCUGCAGCUGCCAACCUAUGCCAUGGCCACUGCAACAUAGGAUCCGAGCUCCAUCUGUGACCUACACCACAGUGGAUACUUAACCCACCGAACGAGGCCAGGGAUCAAACCUUCAUCCUCACGGAUGCUGGUCAGGCUCAUAACCCACUAUGCCACAAUGGGAACUCCCAAAGUCAACUGACUUUUAUUGAAAUCACUCAUCUUCUAAGGGCCUCCUGCCAUUCUCUUUAUUGUUAUGGCUUUACACCUUUGUGCUCCUUUAGUAUCAUUUAGAAAGUGCUCUGCAUGAGAAAGGAGGUAAAUGAGUUUGCUUAGUCCACCAGUGUGAACCAGGACACUUUCUUUUUUAAAAAGAGAGUUUGUGAUUUUCAUGUGCCACAUGCUCUAGAAAUACCAGGUAGCUCUUCAUUUUAUUUUCAACUGUUUGCUAACCCAACACUUGAAAUCAGCAGUCACGAAAAGUUGCACAAACACAUCACUUACUAGAUGGAACCCCCAUAACAUAUACUAAAAAAGGGGCGGGGGGGAGUCUGGUUAUUUUCUCUACAUCUCUUAACUGAUCUUGCCAGGGGUCUUCAUUUUCUUAGGCUUUAGUAACUUUGGCAAUGUCAUUAACUUGCUUAAAAGUUCUAUUUUUAUUUUAGUUAUUGAAGAAAACAUGAUUGGAGGUCUUCAAUCAAAAUGUUUCCCUUCUUCCUCAGCAGAUAAAGGGGCAAAAACCUCAAGAGUAGCUGUGCCAAAGUAGAAGUAUGAUGUCUAGGGAAUUUUUGAUAUUGUUCAAUGACAGGGAGUUCCAAAUUAAAAUUGGUAUUCAUGUCACCUAUAAAAUUAACACAAAGAUUUUGAAAUAUGAUAAUUAUUGAUAAAAAGCACUAUAAGAUGGGGACUUUUCUAUACCUUUGGUAGGAACAACAAAAUUUGGUAUCAACUUUCAGGUACUACAAAAUGUUUAUAAUAUUUAACCUAGUGAUUCCUCUUGUUAGGAAUUAAAAUUAAAAAAUAAUGAGGUUAAGAUCAAGGUUCAUUUUUCAAAAUGUUCAUUAUAGGAUUAUGUAUACUAGAAACCCCUUAAAUGACAUAUUUAAAGAAAAAGGUAUAAAAUUUGCAUAUUUAUACCAUGGAUUACUUGUUCAGACAUUAAAAUGAUAUUGAUAAAUAGUUGUUAAUGAAUUAUUAAAAUGCUUAGGUAUAAUUUAGGUGAAAAGAAAAUCUGCAAAUGGUAUAUGUAUUAAGAUCUCAACCAUUCAAAAAGGAAAAGAAACUAGAAGGAAUCGUACUAAAAUUUUAGCCAUGGUUGUCUUUCGUUAAUGGAUUUAUAUGUUAUGUUCUCUUUUCUUGCUUAUUAAUAUUUUGUUGUAUUUUCUAGGUGUUUUAUAGUGAGUAUGCUUGGUUUUCAGCAGAAAAAAGGGAAAGACACUUUAAAUUAUAUGCUUCUGAAAGUAAACCUUUUAAAAAUGUCACCAAAUGACUCCUAUGGCUUUUCCCCCUGACCUUUUUACUUUUUUCUAUCACAGCAUCAGGAGUGGACUGUAUAAAACAGUGUAUGAAGUGUUUUCCAUUAUUGAAAGUUUCUCUCAGAUGCAUCUGGAAAAGCUUGCUGGUGUAUUAUGUUAGAUUUGCUGCUUUUUGCUCUCUGUUUCUCUGUCUCACAAAGUCUGAUUUAUAUCAACAUUGGAUAAAGAAAUAUUCAGAUUCUCUGGAAAGGGGAAAUGCAGCCGCUUCUUUGAAAGGCAUUUGAGAUGAAGAGAUAAACAGUGGACUGGGAGGCAGACCUUCGGCCUUAGGCCUGGCUGGCUCACUCGGUGACUGCUCUGAGUUUUCUCUGUGAAAAAUGAGGACAUUGAAGGGAAUAAUCUCAAAGGUUUUUCUAGUUCUUUUUUCUCUGAUUUUGCAGAUAUCUUACCCCAGCAUAGAGCAGUCAAAACUAAGAUACAGAAAUGACUCAGUAAGAAGCAUGUGUUCUAAUGGUAUGUUUCUUUAGUAUUUUCUGUGCUUUGAAAAGAGCACCUUGGCUUUGUAAAGUUACAGUUUCACAAGCCCAUUUGGAAGCAGAGAAAUCAGGCACUGCUCAGUAUAGAAGGCACAGUUGCCAAGAUUUCUAGCUGUAUUUUGGGUCUGGAAGGGGCAUCAUUUGCUCUCAGAAGCUGUGGACUAAGAUUUUUUACCCACAGAAUAUAAAGGUAAGGCAAACAGAUGAUUCGUUUUGUUGCAUUUGUUUCCCUCCCCAAUAAAAUGUACAGUCCAUGGAAUGUUGUGUAAAACAGAAACCCUUUUGCGUCAGGUGCUGGUGCUUGUGCUUUGUUUGGAGGAAGCUUCCUGGGCCUGGUGGGCUUCUGACUUUUCUCCUCCCUCCUAUUCUCCUGACUUUAAAAAAAAAGAUCCAAAAUAGAAAUUGCUGUAGUAUUUUUGUUCUGAUUAUAAAAGGAAAUGCCUGCCUAUUUUAUGCAAUUAAAACUCAAAAAGCCAACACCAUAGGAAAAGAUUUUUUAAGUAAAUAUCAUUUAUCAUCCCACCACACAGCAUAAUCUUGAUUAAUAUGUGGGGUAUUUUCUCCCAGACUUUCUUCUUCACCCAUGUACACAUAUUUAUGUGCACAUGCACACACACACGCACACGUACACACUUGAAAUCGAUAUAUCCAAUAACACUCUUUUGUUAUUUUAUCUUACAAUGUGCCAUGUCCAUAGAAUUUUACGUCAUCAUCUAGAUUUCCAGCAUAGUAUGACUCUGUAGGGUGAAAUGCAUCAUAAUUUAAUUAACUAUCUCUUUUGAUUGACUUUAUUCUGCUUCCAGCUCUGGCUCUAAGAAGCAAUGCUGUAAUGAAGAACCUUGUAUGUAUGACUUUACACCCUUGUUCACUUAUUUUUCUAGCAGAAUUUCAUGGAAAUAGAAUUUCUGUGACAAAAUGUAUAACAUAUGUGUAGUAUCUGUGUGUGGCUCUGUAUAAGACAUGCAUAAAAACAUGCAGUGCUAAACUGUCCUGUAUGAAGGCUGUUCCUGACAAUUCUUGUGCCGCCAAUGGGCCAGCUUUAUUCCUCCACCCUCUUGCUCCUCCUCGUUCCCUCAGGUGUUUCCAGUUGAAGAGAAGGCCAGCAAACUGCCUUGGGGGAGGGCGGGGGGGAGUGUCUCUGGGCUUCACGCAGGUGUGACCUCUGUCAAGCAGGCCCGGUUCUUGUGUGCUGGUUGCAGGAGUUCAAGCUCUCCCCUUACUUAGCAUUCCAUCUUACUCUUUAGCUCCAGGGAAAUUUUUUGCUGAACAAGAAAAGCAGUAGGAGUGUUUUGCCUUUACUCCUUUACUAAAUAGCAGGUGUCCAGGUUUUGACUGCCUAUUACAGGUAAGUGUUCCCACUCUGGCUUCCUCUGUGUGUGGUUGGUGUUUUGAGCAUGUUCAGUGCUCUGAAUUUGUUUUGCUUUAGGCUUCUACCCUUCCUCAAUCAUUACAUCCACCACACCCCCAGCCUUUCCACCUCAUGCACUAGAUCAGGG
rnacentral:lncRNA from 1 species